rnacentral:tRNA from 1 species
GGGGAUAUAGCUCAGUUGGGAGAGCGCUACAAUGGCAUUGUAGAGGUCGUCGGUUCGAUCCCGAUUGUCUCCA